rnacentral:lncRNA from 1 species
GUAUCAAUAGAUCUCUACGAUUUCUAUCAUUUCUCAUUUUAUGUACUCCUUAUCGUAGUUGCUGUAUUGAUGUGGUCUGAGUCCGUUAUGCCAAUGGAGGAGUGACCUUUUCAAUUCAUCCUCGAUGCCAGCUUUUCACAUCCUGAUGGCUUUUAGUUUUUGAAUGUUUACAAGAAAUGUUUCUCUGACUCAUUCAAAGCAUCUGGAAAAAAGGACUUGCUAUUCAUAAUGGUCUCAGCAAAC